rnacentral:rRNA from 1 species
AUACGGAGGGUGCAAGCGUUAAUCGGAAUUACUGGGCGUAAAGCGUGCGUAGGUGGUUUGUUAAGUCAGAUGUGAAAGCCCCGGGCUCAACCUGGGAGCUGCAUUUGAAACUGGCAUACUAGAGUAUAGGAGAGGAAAGUGGAAUUUCAGGUGUAGCGGUGAAAUGCGUAGAUAUCUGAAGGAACAUCAAUGGCGAAGGCAGCUUUCUGGACUAAUACUGACACUGAGGUACGAAAGCGUGGGUAGCAAACAGGAUUAGAAACCCUAGUAGUCC